GUCCACGCCGUAAACGAUGGAUACUAGCUGUUGGGAGCAAUCUCAGUGGCUAAGCGAAAGUGAUAAGUAUCCCACCUGGGGAGUACGUUCGCAAGAAUGAAACUCAAAGGAAUUGACUGGGGCCCUCACAAGCGGUGGAGCAUGUGGUUUAAUUCGAUGAUACGCGAGGAACCUUACCAAGGCUUAAAUGUAGAUUGACCGGUUUGGAAACAUACUUUUCGCAAGACAAUUUACAAGGUGCUGCAUGGUUGUCGU
rnacentral:rRNA from 1 species